UGCCUAUCCCGCUCAUGAAUUUGGGCACGAGGUUCCUUGGGUUUUAACUGAUACUGAAUUGCGAUAGGCAGAGGCAUAUAUUCUACUAAACUACAAGGAGGUCGAUGCAUAUAUUGGUAAGUAUCCAUCACAAUCCCAACUAUUCAAUCACUUAUUAUAGUAUAUUUAUCUUAUGCAUAUUUAGGCAAUAUGAUGGGAUACUGAAACGAGACAACCCGAGGAUA
rnacentral:lncRNA from 1 species